CAGCAGCGGCGCCUGGAAGGGCGGAGUUAAGAUCGGCCAUGUUGAACUGAUCCUUGUUGUUACUCAUGAUGCGUGAUGAUAAUAAAACUCUAGGGUCUAUACACAAAAGAAAACUUUAGAACUUUUUUGAAAUAGUGUUAGUACGAAGUUGUGGAGGAGGUAGGAAAAGAAAA